CUCACAGAGAGGUGAGUUAGACACGCAGCUCACAGAGAGGUGAGUUAGACACGCAGCUCACAGAGAGGUGACUUAGACACGCAGCUCACAGAGAGGUGAGUUAGACACGCAGCUCACAGAGAGGUGAGUUAGACACGCAGCUCACAGAGAGGUGAGUUAGACACGCAGCUCACAGAGAGGUGAGUUAGACACGCAGCUCACAGAGAGGUGAGUUAGACACGCAGCUCACAGAGAGGUGAGUUAGACACGCAGCUCACAGAGAGGUGAGUUAGACACGCAGCUCACAGAGAGGUGAGUUAGACACGCAGCUCACAGAGAGGUGAGUUAGACACGCAGCUCACAGAGAGGUGAGUUAGACACGCAGCUCACAGAGAGGUGAGUUAGACACGCAGCUCACAGAGAGGUGAGUUAGACACGCAGCUCACAGAGAGGUGAGUUAGACACGCAGCUCACAGAGAGGUGAGUUAGACACGCAGCUCACAGAGAGGUGAGUUAGACACGCAGCUCACAGAGAGGUGAGUUAGACACGCAGCUCACAGAGAGGUGAGUUAGACACGCAGCUCACAGAGAGGUGAGUUAGACACGCAGCUCACAGAGAGGUGAGUUAGACACGCAGCUCACAGAGAGGUGAGUUAGACACGCAGCUCACAGAGAGGUGAGUUAGACACGCAGCUCACAGAGAGGUGAGUUAGACACGCAGCUCACAGAGAGGUGAGUUAGACACGUAGCUCACAGAGAGGUGAGUUAUAGACACGCAGCUCACAGAGAGGUGAGUUAGACACGCAGCUCACAGAGCUCCUUGUCUCUCCAUCUCCUUGUCCCUCCAUCUGUAGCUGUUUCCUGUCUGUCUGUCUGUCUGUCUCCUUGUCGCUCCAUCUGUAGCUGGUUCCUGUCUGUCUGUCUCCUUGUCGCUCCAUCUGUAGCUGGUUCCUGUCUGUCUGUCUCCUUGUCGCUCCAUCUGUAGCUGUCUCCUUGUCGCUCCAUCUGUAGCUGUCUCCUUGUCGCUCCAUCUGUAGCUGGUUCCUGUCUGUCUGUCUCCUUGUCGCUCCAUCUGUAGCUGGUUCCUGUCUGUCUGUCUCCUUGUCGCUCCAUCUGUAGCUGGUUCCUGUCUGUCUGUCUCCUUGUCGCGCCAUCUGUAGCUGGU